AAACUAACAAAAAUAAAACAUACAGACACAAGUCAGAAUAUUUUAAUUUAGAAAUACCACUGCAGUCCCUCUCUGUAGAAUUAUUUUCCAACACUUCUAAUUGAGAGUCCAAUUUUUUUUCAGAAAAUAUUUUCUAAUGUCUAAGUUCCCUUCUUAGGUAAUAUAUCUUAAUAAGAAUUCCUUAUUAUUACAUGUAAUGGGAAAAGACAGUGACUACAAGUCUUUGGAGUGACAGAAAACAUUGCUUGGACCCCUUGAAGAUCUGUGAUGAUAAAGAUUAUUCUUUUUACCUGUGUUAUUUAACAGGCUGAGGAACCCUUGAUUUGGGAACACAAGGAAUCUCUUCAGGAAACAAAAGUAUCCCAGAUGCUAGCACACCUGGUAACACAUCCAUAGAGCUGGCCUCUCACAGCAGCAUAGGUAAGCUCUUUUUGGUCUAUAUUUUAUUUUAAAAAAACUAUUUGCAAA
ensembl:lncRNA